rnacentral:rRNA from 1 species
UACGUAGGGACCGAGCGUUGUCCGGAAUCAUUGGGCGUAAAGAGCGUGUAGGCGGCCCCUUAAGUCCUGCGUGAAAUCCUGCGGCUCAACCGCAGACGGUCGUGGGAAACUGGAGGGCUAGAGUGCGGGAGAGGAGAGUGGAAUUCCCGGUGUAGCGGUGAAAUGCGCAGAUAUCGGGAAGAACACCCGUGGCGAAGGCGGCUCUCUGGAGCGCAACUGGCGCUGAGACGCGAAAGCGUGGGGAGCAAACAGG